GACGAACGCUGGCGGCGUGCUUAACACAUGCAAGUCGAACGGAAAGGCCCUGCUUGCAGGGUACUCGAGUGGCGAACGGGUGAGUAACACGUGGGUGAUCUGCCCUGCACUUCGGGAUAAGCCUGGGAAACUGGGUCUAAUACCGGAUAGGAGCCAUUUUUAGUGUGAUGGUUGGAAAGUUUUUUCGGUGUAGGAUGAGCUCGCGGCCUAUCAGCUUGUUGGUGGGGUAAUGGCCUACCAAGGCGGCGACGGGUAGCCGGCCUGAGAGGGUGGACGGCCACAUUGGGACUGAGAUACGGCCCAGACUCCUACUGGAGGCAGCAGUGGGGAAUAUUGCACAAUGGGCGCAAGCCUGAUGCAGCGACGCCGCGUGGGGGAUGACGGCCUUCGGGUUGUAAACUCCUUUCGCUAGGGACGAAGCUUUUUGUGACGGUACCUAGAUAAGAAGCACCGGCUAACUACGUA
rnacentral:rRNA from 1 species